rnacentral:rRNA from 1 species
UACGUAGGGUGCAAGCGUUGUCCGGAAUUAUUGGGCGUAAAGGGCUCGUAGGCGGUCCAUCGCGUCGGGAGUGAAAAGCUGGGGCUUAACCCCAGUCCUGCUUCCGAUACGGGUGGACUAGAGGUAGGUAGGGGGAGAACGGAAUUCCUGGUGUAGCGGUGAAAUGCGCAGAUAUCAGGAAGGAACACCCGGUGGCGAAGGCGGUCUCGC